UUUUUGUUCUUGUUGAUUAACGACCGAUUCGAUCCGAUGUAAUUCAAUUCCUUGACGUGUAUAUAUUUAAAAGCUGAGUUAAUGUUAAAAUCGAGAUUCACAAAUAAAAUUCAAUUCUACGAAUUAAGUCUCAAUUGCCUACGUGAUUUAACAAUUGGCGCUGAUGGAAAUUUCUACGAACCUACUUCGUAGUAAUUUAAUUGCUGCGACCAUGUAUUCUGUUUACUCACAACAAUGGGAAAGCGGUUUACGCCAAAGAUGCGCCAAAGAGACGCCGACGGCUAUGGAGAGGAUUGGAUAUUCAUACCUGACGACAAUGGGCAGUCUCAGGUGUAAACAGUGUUAAAGGUCCAAGACGAAAGGAGAGGCAUAUUGGAUGAUUUGGAAGCCUACAUAAUCUAUACUUGAUCUAAUCCGAAAGAGGGCAUACAGGUGACUCUAAAUGACAUCAUGAAUCUUGCCGGCUUCGGCUUCAAAUCCUUGCGAGAAACGAAAUUCAUUAUAACGUACGGAUAAAAGUCAAGCGCCAUGAGUACCAGGCUUCUGAACGAAAGUGCGGCCGUUUGUUUUUUCAAUUUGUUUUGCGAGUUAGGUCUCGGUUUAUUGGUGAAGCACACUCGCGGAUAAUUAAUUACACUCUUUCGAGCAGCUUUUUUCAAUCACGGAGAUUACAACGUCAUCCUUGUGGAUUAGGAAACUCUUGGCC